GAAAUCUGUGUGUUUGUUUUUUCUUUCUCCAGAAUAGGUACAGAUAGAUUUCAGCUUAUAGGGAUACCGGCACUGGAUGGCCAAUUUCACAUGUAUUUUGUGUAUUUUCAAAAUACAAAAUACUGUAUUUGUAUUUAAAUACAUUUUUCCACAC